rnacentral:rRNA from 1 species
UACAGAGGGGGCAAGCGUUGUUCGGAAUUACUGGGCGUAAAGGGCGCGUAGGUGGCCUUCUAAGUUGAACGUGAAAUCCCUGGGCUCAACCCAGGAACUGCGUCCAAGACUGGGAGGCUUGAAUCCGGGAGAGGGAUGCGGAAUUCCCGGUGUAGUGGUGAAAUGCGUAGAUAUCGGGAGGAACACCAGUGGCGAAGGCGGCGAUCUGGCCUGUUCUUGACGCUGAGGCGCGAAAGCUAGGGGAGCAAACGGG